UAGGAUAGAGUGUGGGGGUUAGCACGGAGAAGUUUGGGUUCUCAGGAGUAGGUUCGACGCCUGCAGUCCUAG
rnacentral:tRNA from 1 species